AGAAUCAACGCUGGCGGCGUGCCUAACACAUGCAAGUCGAACGGGAAAGUGGAGCAAUCCAUGAGUAUAGUGGCGACCGGGUGAGUAACACGUGACUAACCUACCCUUGAGUGGGGGAUAACCUCGGGAAACCGGGGCUAAUACCGCAUAAAAUCUUCGGGAUGAGAAGCUGGAGAUCAAAGGAGCAAUUCGCUUUUGGAGGGGGUCGCGGCUGAUUAGCUAGUUGGCGGGGUAACGGCCCACCAAGGCUUUGAUCGGUAUCCGGCCUGAGAGGGCGCACGGACACACUGGAACUGAAACACGGUCCAGACUCCUACGGGAGGCAGCAGUGGGGAAUUUUGCGCAAUGGGGGAAACCCUGACGCAGCAACGCCGCGUGGAGGAUGAAGUCCCUUGGGACGUAAACUCCUUUCGACCGGGAAGAUGAUGACGGUACCGGUGGAAGAGCCCGGCUAACUCGCGCCAGCAGCCGC
rnacentral:rRNA from 1 species